rnacentral:sRNA from 12 species
CAGCGUUGAAGCAAUUGGUGGGGUCAGCGUCCGUACAAUUGCGGAGCUUUGAACGAGGGUUUGGGACAUAUCCACAAGCUGACGUAGGAGGAAUCCGAAAGAAAAUGUCCUUUCA